CCUCUUUUCGCUUUGUCACUCUCUCCACUUUCUCUAAUUCUCUCUCCCAUAUCUCACUCUCUGAAUCUCUCUCACAAUCUUUUCUCUCAUCCUUCUUAGCAUUUCUUUCAUUCCAUUUUCUCUUUCCCUUGGAUCUUGAUUUUCUCUAUCUACCUGCUCUUACUUUGUUUUCUUUUCCUUUUGUAGGUCCGAAUGGAGACACCCUGACAAAGAGCUUCAAGUUCUCUACCCCCUUUUCAGACCCAUUUCUUGGAUCGACCAGAGGUGAUCUAGGUAGGCGAGUAGAUCAGACUUGUAGAUAGAGGGGCUUCAAUACUGCCCUGUCAGCAGAGACUGCAGAAGACGAGACACUUGCCACUACCAUCAUGCAGCCCGCACCCUCAUCGCCUCUCUCAUGCCGGCGAGCAUCACAACAACUGUAGCCACCACUGAAGCCAACCUACGACUGGCUCUACAACAUCUCUCGGACUAGCAACCUCAGACGCAUAAUCCAACGCUAGCCACACCAGUCACAACUCUGGUAUCUCUCUUCACGGUGUCCUCGCCACCACAGGACCACCCUGUCGUCAUCACCGGUAUCUGUCGCUGCAACAACCCAGCAACUCGUCAUCCUCAUCGCCAUAGCCAGCAUACCUUCUACCUCCGGCCAGGGCUCCGACUUCUUCCCCCUUCAUGAGUUCCCUGCAUACUAGCUACACACACCACAUGCACACGCUUAUGCACACAGCAACACACACACACACCCAUG